rnacentral:misc_RNA from 1 species
AAAAUAAUGAGAGUGGUAGUGUUGAAAUGGAAAUAUGAGAGCUUUGUGAUCCUGGGUGUGGUGGUAUCAUGAGAUUUUGGCAACUAGUUAUCGCUAGCAAGCUAAUCUCAAAAACUUCCUAUUGAAUCAAUAUCGGAUUUUGGCAUAUCGAUAAAUUUCGAGUUAAGUGGUAAUAUUUUUUUUGUUCUUGCGCCUAGAACAAGGUGCACGCCUAAGCGCAUAAAACGAGGACUUGGUGAAUGAUUCCUACCUUUCCCCUAUAAAGGCGCUAGGGUUAAAGCCUGGUGAGCCUUGAGCCUAA